GUGAACGCUGGCGGUAGGCCUAACACAUGCAAGUCGAACGGCAGCACCGUAAGAGCUUGCUCUUACGGGUGGCGAGUGGCGGACGGGUGAGGAAUACAUCGGAAUCUACUUUUUCGUGGGGGAUAACGUAGGGAAACUUACGCUAAUACCGCAUACGACCUACGGGUGAAAGCAGGGGAUCUUCGGACCUUGCGCGAUUGAAUGAGCCGAUGUCGGGUUAGCUAGUUGGCGGGGUAAAGGCCCACCAAGGCGACGAUCCGUAGCUGGUCUGAGAGGAUGAUCAGCCACACUGGAACUGAGACACGGUCCAGACUCCUACGGGAGGCAGCAGUGGGGAAUAUUGGACAAUGGGCGCAAGCCUGAUCCAGCCAUACCGCGUGGGUGAAGAAGGCCUUCGGGUUGUAAAGCCCUUUUGUUGGGAAAGAAAAGCAGCAGGUUAAUACCCCGCUGUUCUGACGGUACCCAAAGAAUAAGCACCGGCUAACUUCGUG
rnacentral:rRNA from 1 species